rnacentral:rRNA from 1 species
UACAGAGGUCUCAAGCGUUGUUCGGAUUCAUUGGGCGUAAAGGGUGUGUAGGUGGCGCCGUAAGUCGGGUGUGAAAUUUCGGAGCUUAACUCCGAAACUGCAUUCGAUACUGCGGUGCUUGAGGACUGGAGAGGAGACUGGAAUUCCUGGUGUAGCGGUGAAAUGCGCAGAUAUCAGGAAGAACACCCGUGGCGAAGGCGGCUCUCUGGGACGGUACUGACGCUGAGACGCGAAAGCGUGGGGAGCGAACAGG